rnacentral:rRNA from 1 species
GUCCGUUGGGAAAUCCACGCGCCUAACGCGUGGGCGUCCAGCGGAAACUGUCCGGCUUGGGGCCGGAAGACUCGAGGGGUACGUCCGGGGUAGGAGUGAAAUCCCGUAAUCCUGGACGGACCGCCGGUGGCGAAAGCGCCUCGAGAGGACGGACCCGACGGUGAGGGACGAAAGCUAGGGUCUCGAACCGGAUUAGAUACCCGGGUAGUCCUAGCCGUAAACGAUGCUCGCUAGGUGUGGCGCAGGCUACGAGCCUGCGCUGUGCCGUAGGGAAGCCGUGAAGCGAGCCGCCUGGGAAGUACGUCCGCAAGGAUGAAACUUAAAGGAAUUGGCGGGGGAGCACUACAACCGGAGGAGCCUGCGGUUUAAUUGGACUCAACGCCGGACAUCUCACCAGCACCGACAGUGGCUGUGAAGGUCAGUUUGAUGAGCUUACUGGAGCCACUGAGAGGAGGUGCAUGGCCGCCGUCAGCUCGUACCGUGAGGCGUCCUGUUAAGUCAGGCAACGAGCGAGACCCGCACUCCUAGUUGCCAGCAGCACGGUCACGUGGCUGGGUACACUAGGAGGACUGCCGCUGCCAAAGCGGAGGAAGGAACGGGCAACGGUAGGUCAGUAUGCCCCGAAUGUGCUGGGCAACACGCGGGCUACAAUGGCCGGGACAAUGGGAUGCCAUCCCGAGAGGGAGCGCUAAUCCCCUAAACCCGGUCGUAGUUCGGAUUGAGGGCUG